rnacentral:misc_RNA from 1 species
GAUGAAGAACGCAGCGAAAUGCGAUACGUAGUGUGAAUUGCAGAAUUCCGUGAAUCAUCGAAUCUUUGAACGCACAUUGCGCCCGCCAGUAUUCUGGCGGGCAUGCCUGUUCGAGCGUCAUUUCAACCAUCAAGCCCCCGGCUUGUGUUGGGGACCUGCGGCUGCCGCAGGCCCUGAAAAGCAGUGGCGGGCUCGCUGUCACACCGAGCGUAGUAGCAUACAUCUCGCUCUGGGCGUGCUGCGGGUUCCGGCCGUUAAACCACCUUCAUAACCCAAGGUUGACCUCGGAUCAGGUAGGAAGACCCGCUGAACUUAAGCAUAUCAAUAAGCGGAGGA